rnacentral:rRNA from 1 species
UCCAGACUCCUACGGGAGGCAGCAGUAGGGAAUAUUGCUCAAUGGGGGGAACCCUGAUGCAGCGACGCCGCGUGGGCGAUGGAGUACUUCGGUAUGUAAAGCCCUAUCAGCAGGGAAGAAAAUGACGGUACCUGACUAAGAAGCCCCGGCUAAAUACGUGCCAGCAGCCGCGGUAAUACGUAUGGGGCAAGCGUUAUCCGGAUUUACUGGGUGUAAAGGGAGCGUAGGCGGCCUGGCAAGCCUGAUGUGAAAUCCCGGGGCCCAACCCCGGGGCUGCAUUGGGAACUGCCAGGCUGGAGUGCCGGAGAGGCAGGCGGAAUUCCUAGUGUAGCGGUGAAAUGCGUAGAUAUUAGGAGGAACACCAGUGGCGAAGGCGGCCUGCUGGACGGUGACUGACGCUGAGGCUCGAAAGCGUGGGGAGCAAACAGGAUUAGAUACCCGGGUA